UACGUAGGGUGCGAGCGUUGUCCGGAAUUAUUGGGCGUAAAGAGCUCGUAGGCGGUCUGUCGCGUCUGCUGUGAAAACCCGAGGCUCAACCUCGGGCCUGCAGUGGGUACGGGCAGACUAGAGUGCGGUAGGGGAGAAUGGAACUCCUGGUGUAGCGGUGGAAUGCGCAGAUAUCAGGAGGAACACCGGUGGCGAAGGCGGGUCUCUGGGCCGGUACCGACGCUGAGGAGCGAAAGCGUGGGGAGCGAACAGG
rnacentral:rRNA from 1 species